rnacentral:lncRNA from 1 species
CCAGUAAAAUUCUCCUCUUUUUUCUUCUAAAUUAGGAUCUCACUGCACAGAAUACAGAUUUUUGGAUCUUGAACUGUUUUUUUCUCUUCUUUUUCACUCCAUUAUUCUAUAUAAAAAUAAAAUAAAAAGUUCAUGUUUUUAAAUGAUUCAGUUGCAAUUUUCUUACUGUCUCAUCAACCCUUUUUUCAAAUUCUCUGUUUGAACCUUCCUCUGUAAAACACAGAACAGAAAAAGAAGGAAAAAAAAAAUUGGUGGGUAUGAACAAUUUCCAUGAAAUUUCAAAUUUUGAUAAACAUGGCAGCAACCCUUUCAUGGAGUCAAUGUUUUGGAGACAAAGCAGUUAAUUGUUGUCAAAAUUGAAGAAAAAAUAUUUUUUUUGUUUUGAAACCUGACUGAAUUAUGAGUCUGUCAGCAAAAUUGAAGACUCGAGAGAAGCAUUGAGCAAACUGAGAUUUUUUGUUACUGAAUUUUGUGGACACGUGGCAAGCAAUUUUCUUCUUGUUCCAGCGGUUACUGUGAUCAUAUAUGACUUUUCAGGUAGAAAUAAGCUCAUAAAUUGCAACUUCACUAAUCUUUUAAUUCAUGGAAGAUAAAAAUUAAUGUUUUUUUUUUUUUGUCAUCGUCAAUUUUAUUACUUAAUUUGGUAAACUAAUACAGUUGCAGAAAUUUUGCAGUGAAAGUUUUUUGAAGAUGAAUACAUUUAUGGAUUCAAGGGAAAAUAAUAAUAAUAAGUCAUCAGAAGAAGUUGAAAGGUGUUUAGAUCCUCAGCUAUGGCAUGCUUGUGCAGGUGGAAUGGUUCAGAUGCCAACAGUGAACAGUAAAGUUUAUUACUUUCCUCAAGGUCAUGCUGAACAUGCAUGUGGACCUGUUAACUUCAUCAAUUGUCCAAAAGUUUCACCUUUGAUUCCAUGCAAAGUUGUUUCUAUCAAGUACAUGGCUGAUCCUGAAACUGAUGAGGUUUAUGCAAAGCUUAAGCUUUUUCCUUUGAGUGGAAAUGGAAAUGGAAAUGAUGUUCAAGAUUAUUAUUGCAAUGAUGUUGUUGAAAAUCAAGAUAAGCCUGUUUCAUUUGCAAAGACAUUGACUCAAUCUGAUGCUAAUAAUGGUGGAGGUUUUUCUGUUCCUAGGUAUUGUGCCGAGACGAUUUUCCCUCGUUUGGAUUACGCCGCUGAUCCUCCUCUUCAGAACAUUUUGGCUAAAGAUGUUCACGGCGAGACGUGGAAGUUUAGGCAUAUUUAUAGAGGGACGCCGAGGCGACAUCUUUUGACUACUGGUUGGAGUACUUUUGUUAAUCACAAGAAGCUUAUUGCCGGGGAUUCAAUUGUGUUUUUGAGGGCAGAAAACGGUGAUCUUUGUGUUGGGAUUCGUCGAGCGAAAAAGGGUAUCGGUGGUGGACAUGAGGAUCCUUCAGGGUGGAAUCCUGUUGGAGAAAAUUUUCCUCUUCCUUGGUUUACACAGAAUGAGAAUCAAAUGAUGAGAAACAUUAACGACAAUAACAGAAACGGUUUGAACUCAAGCCCAAAUGUAACGGGGAGGGCAAAAGUUAGGCCAGAUGCGGUCCUGGAAGCGGUAACUCUAGCUGCGAAUAAGCAACCAUUUGAGGUUGUUUACUACCCUCGCGCAAGUACACCCGAGUUUUGUGUGAAGGCGCCUUUAGUAGAGGCGGCAAUGCAGAUGCGAUGGUGUUCUGGAAUAAGAUUCAAGAUGGCCUUUGAAACCGAGGACUCGUCUCGAAUUAGUUGGUUUAUGGGAAUUGUAUCUGGAGUUCAGUUUGUUGAUCCCCUUCUUUGGCCCAACUCACCUUGGAGGCUUCUCCAGGUAACAUUAUUAUCAAACUUUAUGUAAAUUAACAUCAUAACAAAAAAUUUCAUACUACUAAAAUAUGGUGAUUUCAUUCUUUCUAAUGUUUGAUUUAUUUUAGACCGAAAUAGCUUAUAUCACCAAUAAUGUGCUUAGUUAUUAAGCAAAUUUGUAUCUUUUACACAAGGCACAGUUUCUUAUUGCUAAUUGAAUUUAUUUUUGGACAAUUUCAUUACUAUUUAAUGAACUCUGAUGUUUUUUUUUUGCAUCCACUAAUUUAUUUUGAAUAUGAUACCAUUUAAUAAGACUAAUUGCAAUUUGAUUUCUCAUACUAAUUUUCUCAAGUUAUAAUUGUAGGUUAAAUGGGAUGAACCAGAUUUACUGCAAAAUGUGAGAAGGGUAAGUCCAUGGUUAGUUGAAUUGGUUGCAAACAUUCCUUCCAUAAACCUUUCCCCUUUCUCGCAACCAAGGAAGAAAUUGAGAUUGUCGCCGCACCAAGAUUUCCCCUUUGACAGCCAAAUUCCGGUGCCGACGUUUCCAAAUAACCUUCUAGGUCCGAGUAACGUAUUUCGUUGUCUACCCGAAAAUACUCCUGCUGGCAUGCAGGGAGCCAGGCAUGCUCAUUAUGGUCUUCCAAUAUCGGAUCACCACCUCAGUAAAGUUCAGUCAGGUCUAUUUUCGGCCGGUUUCGUGCCUUUUGAUCAUGCUACUAAACUACCUACUGUCUCUAAUAACCUAAUGAUGCAAAAAUCUAGCAUGAGUGAGAAUGUGUCUUGCUUAUUAUCUAUGGCAAGUUCUACUCAGUCUUCGCAGAAAUUCGAUGACAAAAAACCUCAGCUUGUUCUUUUCGGCCAAAAAAUUCUCACUGAGCAACAGAUCUCUGGUGUUCGUUCAUCAGAUGGAAAUGCCGAUAAAAUGAGUAACUUCUCCGAUGGUUCGCGAACUCCUCUUCAUCAACAAGGCUUACAGAAACACCCCUCUUGUGACAGUUUCCCAAGGUAUAAGGAUAACAACCAAGAAACUGAGACGAGUUUGGAGAGUACUACUGAUCACUGCAAAGUUUUUCUCGAAUCGGAAGAUGUUGGUCGGACAAUUGACCUCUCUUUACUUGAGUCUUAUGAUGAACUGUACAGAAAGCUGGCAGAGAUGUUUGGCAUAGAUAAAUAUGAGAAGGUAAGUCGCGUGCUCUACCGGGAUAUAUCAGGAGCAGUCAAAAACAUUGGAGAUGAACCAUUCAGGUAAGAAUCACAAUCAAACCCUCUUGAAUUGCAAAAUAAAAUAUAUUUCAUCAUAUCUUUAGGCCCUCUUUGGAUAAACGUUAAAUAAGAGCUUAUAGUAUAAAUACUUAUCAUAUAAAUGCUCGUUUCUAUUAAUAAUAAGUAAAAUAAAGUCAAACUAUUUUCAUAAGAUAUCAUGAAGAACUUGUAGAAAUAAGCUGAAAACAACUUAUAGACAUGUCAUAAGCUCUCACAUAUAGUCUCAAAAUAUUUAUACUGGUAAAUAAGCUCAAGUAAGUUAAUCCAAACAGACUCGUAGAGCUUGAGAUGUUUCCUUAUUAUAUCUUUGAUGUUGUUGCAGUAAAUUUACAAGAACAGCAAGGAGGUUGACUAUUCUAAUGGAUUCAAGAAAAUAAAUUAUUCUUUCAAUUUGUACAGCUGGUUCAUGAAAUCCUUCAUUGAGCAAUCGAAGGAUGCAAAGUGAUCUAAUUUUUUAAUGUUUGGAUUUUGAAAUUUUCAAUGUAGUGAUCAAAAUUUAUUUUAAUUACCUUGCUUAAUUUAUCUUUUCAAUUAAAUUUUUGUGGGUAGAAGAGAUUAAUACGAUUUAUUUAUUUAAAAAAAAAAAAAAGUAUUCAACUUGAAUACAUAAUUGAACCAUUCACCUUUAUAGAGAUUGUAAUUUUGUCUCAUUUAUCUUCUUGUUGCUACCUUAUACAUAGUAAUUUACCAGCUAUUACUUUAAUCAUUCUUGAAUCAUAUGAAAAUCUAAGGCCUAAAAUGUAUGUAACAUCAUUACCUAUAAAAUAAGGUCAUGUCAACAAAAUAAUGAAUGUUCUAUUUUGGUUGGUAAGAAAUUGGUGCAUGAUUGUAUAUUUCUUAUAUAUAUCAUGAGAAUAACAACAAGCAAGAAAUUAGAAAAAUGUGAACAAGUUUCCAUUCAAGAGACACAUCAUGUUAAUUUUUUGGAAGGAUGCACCCAUAAUCUUCCCAAUUGAUAUUUUCGCGUGAGAGGGGAGGAAAAAAACAAUUAAUACUAAUUAAAAAAAGGGUUUGAAAGUUUAAUCACAACUAAAAGGGAUCCGGAUUGACUGUUGUAGCAGGUGCAGGCAGUAGUCAAUCUAGAUCAUUGAUUUAUGAUCAAGUUGUUAAGUUUUUUUUUUGAAGAAUUUGUUGUUCAGAUUUAUGCAACAUAAAUUUAAUAAUUUAUUAUAAUAUUUGAUCUUAGCCCUUUAAAAUUUGAUCGGACGGCCAAAACCAGUUACUGCGUGCAUGCGGUAGCUGCAUUAAAUCCAACUCCCAACUAAAAGUAUUUAGAUGAAAUAGUUUGUGUCUCUUUUCAGCUUAAUAAGAUGUUUUGAGUUUCGAAUAUUCAAUCCUAAGAAUGUAUAAAUUUCAUGAGAAAGAGCUUUAUCAUUUUUUUAGUAUAUAUCAUACUUAAAUUCAAUGAAUUAAUCUCUAUAAUUACGUGCGGAUAUAUACUAUUCACAAGAACAAAAAAGUCUAAUAAAAGGGGAGAAACAUGUGUGAAGUUGACAUCAUGCAUAGUCAAGUAUCAUAUGUUUCACACGGCAACAUACAUACAUAUUUAAACACAUCACGAGCCAUGACUUGAAGCUAAUAAUAAUGUGCCACAUGGAAGACAUUGGCAUGAAACAACAACAAAAACAACACAACGAGGAACAAGUCAUGAAACAUGGUUCAUCAAGCAUGGAAUUCUCCAUACCUAAAAUUCAAAACAGGAAAAUUCAACCAAACAUAAGUCUCAUGCUGAUGGCGUAAAGUAUGGGGAAGUUUAAUUUAAUAUAGUUAUACUAGUUAAUGUGUGUGACAAAAUUAUAGUAUUAGGGGUUAUCGGGAUUGCAAAACUAGAGUAGUUGUCAAACACAAAGUCAAAUAAUGUUAGAUUCGGAGCGUGACACCCAUAAAAUAUUACUACUAUUAACAUUAGGAGAAUGUUAACAUGUGCAUAUAUGGCACAUGUUAAGGUAGUAAAAAUAGAAAUUAUGUCUUAGAAUUUGUGCAUUUUAACUUUUUAAGCAUUAAAUGUCUUGUAUCAUUAAAUGUUAAAUUUCUAUAUUAAGAUAUCUUAUCAUGUGCCCUAUAUGCACAUGUUAACAAGACCCUUAACAUUAAACAAACUACUUUAUAGUAAGAAGAAAGGAAGAGCUGGAAAGCAGAGGACACAUUCUUAAUUGACUACAACAACAACAACACGAUUGAUUAUAAUAAUUAGUAGAUGGUUAAAUUAAAUUUAACCAGCAAAAUGUGAUACAAGUAAUAGAUUUUUGGAAUCAUUUAAUAGUUGAGAGAGGUCAACUUUUAAACAUAUUUUAGAUUUCAGGUAAUUACAUCAUGAAAUUAGUCUGCAAUUACACAAGAAGGAUACACUAAUUUACAAAAAAUAAAAUGAUAUUUAUAGUUGUUUUUUUAUAGAAAAAACUGAAAUUUAUAGUUAACAAAUAAAUAUUCGAAUAUAACAAGCUGUCAUAUAUAAUCACGAUUAAUCAUAGUUUUGAACAAUCACAAUUUGUAUGUCUAUAAGUUUGAACAUAUAUAAUAAUUUGUAGUAUUUUUUUGUUUGUAGAUGAAGUGACAACCAACACUUUUAUUUAGUGUUUAGUUAAUAAAUUGUGACACAUUAAUUAUUACAUUUAUAAUUUAUAUGUGUUUCGAACAAAUAUUGUAAUUGUAUUAUAAUAGUAAUAUAUUUUUCUGCUCUUUUUUAUAAGAAACGAUUGACUUUUUAAGUUUAUUAAUGUAUCUGGUCUAUAUUAUAGAUCAAAUAUAUUAAUUAUUUAAUUAAUUGAAAAAGUUAACAAUUUCUUGUAAAAAGUAUCGGAGGAAGUAGUAAAUAAACUUACUUGACUAAAAAAAAAUAUUUCAUCUAAUCUUUAAUAUAAAAGAAAGUUUAUUUAUUGCUCCCUCAAGUCCUUAAUACAAGAGAGGCUUUACUUUUUAGAUUUAUUGAGAAUCUAAUGUAUCUAGUCCAUAUUAUAGGCUAGAUACAUUAGAUUCUCAAUGAAUUUAAAAAAUAAAAUUUUUCUUAUAUUAAGGAUCGGAAAAAAUAUUGAAUAACUAAUAUAUAUAUAUAUAUAAUAUAAAUUAAAUACAUUAAUUAUUGAAUGUAUUUAAAUAGUAAAUUUUCUUUUACAUUUUUUUUGACGGUCAUGCAUGGAUGUUAAAUAAACUAGCCACACGUGAGAACGUGGGGUCAUGCAUGGAUGUUAAAGUAAAGGCAAAUGGAAAAUAAAAGAAACAGACAAAAAUAAAAUAAAAGGAGAGAAAAAUGACAGUAGUAAUCUCACGUGUGGGUGACGCCAUCAACGGUGAGUUUACGCAAGUGUUACGGCGUGUUGGCGACCGGGCUGUUUUCUUGUUGCCACCGUUAAUUUCAUCGGUAGUUUGAACUUUGAAUACUAUUAUUUUGUGCAAACUUGCAAUGACAGUACUAUGUUCCUCUUUAAUACUACUAACUUAAAUGUUAAAGCACGGAUAGAGAGAUAUCCGAUAUAUAUUACUCCCUUCGUCUCAAUUUGAUUGACACAGUUGACUGUUGUGCACUAUUCCCACAUGCAUAUUGUUUUAACCUUAUUUUUCUACUAAUAAACAAAAAUAAAUAUUAGCAUAUAAGAUGUUUGAUUCGUCUCAAUGAGUAUUGUCAAAGUAUCAAAUAUUUACAAUUAAAAAUAUUAAUCGUCAAAGUUAUGCACCGGCAUGCGUGAAACAGUCAACUGUGUCAAUCAAAUUAGGACGGAGGGAGUACAUAUUUUGACUAAAUGCAUUAUCUAUAUGUUUUGUUUUGACCAUAUUUUUCUAAGAGUAUAAAAAUUCGUAAUCAAAUUAUGUAUGGACAUACAUGUCAUCGUCAAUGAAUUCUUAUAUUUUGGAAUGGAGGGGAGUAUACUAGUAAAUGAGAGAGCCUUUGAGAAGUAUUAAUGGUGGUGACGGUAAAAUUAAUUAUAUGAUAUAUAUGUGAGUGGAUCUUCUAGCACUAAUAUAUUUGCAUGGAAAUGAAGUUUGGCCAACUUGAUAGAGAGUUGACUUAUAUUUAUUAAAAAUAUCAAUUCAAAUUUUGCUACUAACUAUUGAUGAAUAAUCUAGCACUAAAUAUAUUUGCAUGGGAAUGAAGUUUGGCCAAAUUGAUAAAGAGUUGACUUAUAUCUUUUAAAAAUGUCAGAUUCAAUUUUUGCUAUUAACUUGAAUGUUAUUGAUGAAUAAUCUAUCGUCUUGACCCUAAACUCCAAAACUCAAUUUAUCUCCAUUUUAGUUCAUAAAAUCCGCUUGAUUCUUUUAUAUAUGACUAUCAACUUUGGUUCAUGCAUUAUGCUUUCAGGCGAUCAAAGCCUCUCUCUUUUUUUUACAUUGUUAUGAGAUAUAUGAAAGGAAUAGGAAUGAAUUGAUAUUUCAAAAUACCAAAAAAGGAUACCCAAAAAAAUAGCAUUGUUUCUAUCAUUCUUCCAUAGUUAACGCUUUUGGUCAUCAAUAUGUGAAUCAUCAUGUACUUAGACAAGUGAGAUAUUGGCAUCCCCUCCUGAUGAUUAUAGUAAGGUUAAUUAAUAUGGAUGACUCUUUAGGUAACCCAAGGAAUGCAUGUUAUAGAGAUCUUAUGAGAGAUGAGAAUGGAUUUUGGUUAGGAACCACGCGUUAACGUUCAUAACAGGAUAUGCUUCCAGUGUGAUUGAUUAAAUUAGAUUGUAUCGAGGUGUGACUUGGGCUUCAAGUAUCGAAAGAUACCUGCAAAAAUAUUAGCACUCCAACGCUGAAGUCACUAUUUGUUUAAGCUUAAAGAAAGUGCUAAAUUGGGUAAGAAUGUUCUACCUUGAGGAUGAAUAUGCAUGUCUGCAUACAUAGUGGAAUACGUGCAUAAUUGUUUUGUCUUUGAUCCUCCAUGUGAAUGGAAUGCGUCACAAAUAUCUUGAGAAUGAGUCCCUUGUCCUAUGCUUGGUAACAUUUGGAUAAAUGGGUUGGCUGGUCCAAAACAGGUUAUAUGAUUUUUCGUAUUAUUUGCUAGUAGAACACUACAAGAAAAUACGGGAUUUGCUACGACGUCCUUUGUAGCUAAUCCGUAGCUAAUCUCNNNNNNNNNNNNNNNNNNNNNNNNNNNNNNNNNNNNNNNNNNNNNNNNNNNNNNNNNNNNNNNNNNNNNNNNNNNNNNNNNNNNNNNNNNNNNNNNNNNNNNNNNNNNNNNNNNNNNNNNNNNNNNNNNNNNNNNNNNNNNNNNNNNNNNNNNNNNNNNNNNNNNNNNNNNNNNNNNNNNNNNNNNNNNNNNNNNNNNNNNNNNNNNNNNNNNNNNNNNNNNNNNNNNNNNNNNNNNNNNNNNNNNNNNNNNNNNNNNNNNNNNNNNNNNNNNNNNNNNNNNNNNNNNNNNNNNNNNNNNNNNNNNNNNNNNNNNNNNNNNNNNNNNNNNNNNNNNNNNNNNNNNNNNNNNNNNNNNNNNNNNNNNNNNNNNNNNNNNNNNNNNNNNNNNNNNNNNNNNNNNNNNNNNNNNNNNNNNNNNNNNNNNNNNNNNNNNNNNNNNNNNNNNNNNNNNNNNNNNNNNNNNNNNNNNNNNNNNNNNNNNNNNNNNNNNNNNNNNNNNNNNNNNNNNNNNNUACAACGAAGAGAAUCGAGUCCAUGUCGGAGCGAGACCGUGAACAGAGCGAGAUCGGAGCAAGAUUGCAGCGAGAAUGAGAUCGGAGCGAGGUCGUAGUGUGAAGGAGAUCGGAGCGAGAUCGGGAGCGGUUUCACCAUAGAGAGUAAAACCGGUGUCGUGUUCUGAGAUAACAAUGAGAUAAAGCCUUAAAACAUAAAUAAAUAAAUAAGAAUAGUAAUAAUUUGUUAAAAAAAAGUAAUAUAAAAUUAAUUUAAGUCGAAUGGUGGCUAAUAUACUUGAAAUUAACUAGUAAAACGUUUCGUAGCAAACUUUUGAUAGCAAAUCACGUAUUUUCUUGUAGUGGAACUCUCAGAUAUUUAGAUAGUCCUUCAUUUGGUUUAGGAUCUUGGUUAGGUUGUAAUUAUGGAAUCCGACUCCAAGAUUUUUUUCGACUUGAUAAUUAAAUAACUUUUACUAAAAGUUAUUUUAAAUAGCUUUUUUUUUAGAGAUUUUUUUGAAAUUUUAUAAUUAAUAAAAAUUUAUAACAAAAUGAUGAAAUGAACAACAUUUUUAAGAGAUCAUUAAACAAUUUUUCAUUUUAAGCUUCUAUAAAAAAAUUAUUUGUUAAAUUUUUUUAACGAAAAUAUAAUACACUAUAAAAAUUAUUUUUGCCAAAACAAACGAGCACAUAAUAUAUUGAACAAUCCAUGCAUUUUUAGAUUUUAUAUUGUUGCAUGCUACGACAUCUAAUUUACGUACAGGUAAAGAAUUGAGGAAUUAAUUCUAGGAUUAUACUCUUAAAGAAUUUUUUUUUUUUAAGCGAUACUCUAAGGGUCCGUUUGUUGCAUGAUAACUAUUAUAUUUUAUUUUUAAUACAUACUUGCUCAUAAUAAUAUGAUAAGAUAUAUAACAUAUUUAAUUGACAAAAUUACUCUUGUAAAACAAUUGUUAUUUUUUUAAAAUUAUUUUGUAAUACUUUGAAUUUUAUAAAUAAAAAAUAUAAAUAAAGUAAUCAAAUAACUUUAUAUAAUUUAAAAUAAAAAUCAUGAGAAAAUAAUCAAGUUUAAUUUUUUAUAUGAAUCAUGAUGAAAUAAAUAACACAAUAAUAUAUACAUGUUAGAUAAGCCAAAUAAAUAUAUGAUAUAUCUCAUAUGUAAAUAAUAAAACUAUUGUUGCAAAAGAAUUAUAUUUAAUUUUUUAUAAAAUUUAAAUUAAUAUCCCUAUUUAUCAAUUUUUUAAUAAUCAUUUUACUUUAAAAUAUUGUAAUUUUAGUAAAAUUUUAAUUUUUUAGAAUAUAUAAAUUACAAAAUUACCCCUGUGAGAAAAUCACAUAUAUAUAUUUAAAAAUUAAUUAUUUUAUUAUUUAUAUUUUAUUAAUUUUAUUUUAUGUAUUUUAAAAUAUAUUUUUUAAAAUAAAUCAGUAAUUUUUUUUUUCUUCUUAUCCUAUCUUGCUGGUAACCCAACUCAAAUUCAGGAUAAGAAUUAUAACUAGAGAGACAGGAUAGGAUAAGCUUCAGGAUUAACUUAUCAUAUCCUGCUGUAUCACCAAACACUGGAUUGCAGCAGGAUAUGAUACAGUUAUCCUAUCCUGUCUCUUAUCCUGUGCACCAAACGGGCCCUAAAAGAAUUGAGAGUAGUUUAUUUAACAACCAAUGUAAGUGAAGUAAAAAAUCGUUUGUGGUUAUUACUUUAAAAUUAUUUUUGUGACAAAUGUUUAUUGAUUUUAUUUUUUUUUAUAAAUAAAUUAAUCGCAAUUCUUCAAAGAUAGUCUAAUAUCUUACGACCAUAAGAUUGUAGACAAACUGUUCUAUUUGGACCUUGGCUAGAGAGUAGUAGGACCUAAACUAUUUUUAAAUGAGUGUUGAAAUAUUUUUGCAAAUGAAUCGCCAAAGCAUGCAAGUUUGAAGCUUCCAUCAGUUCCAUGUUCAAGCAUUUAUAUCUUAGAAUCCGAAACAUGAGGAUCCCCAUAAUUGAUCGGAUCUUGAGUUGGAUCAUGUGUGACUUAAAAUCGUAUUAACAAAUAACAACUAUAUCUCCUCGCUGGCUUAAUUAUAUAUAAUAACUACAACUAUAUUUACAUAUAAACACCAAAUCUAUAUUAUCAUCUCGUUUCAUAAAUAAAGUGAUAAUCCUUUUUAUUUAGCGUGGUCUUGUUCUUCUAAUGGGUUAGGAAUUAGGAUCCUCUCUAGACAUGAGGGGUUGUUGAUUGAACCUCGUUGUAAAGGAAAGGUGAUACUUGCACACUCCAACAAUAAGUUGGAAUUGAAUGUAAGAGGUGUUUAUUGUUUAGGAUAACCUAGACCUUCUCUCAUGGACACCUGUCCUGGGAACGUGGGUUAGCUUAUGGUUAAGACGGUAUGAUCUGGCGCGAUCCACAUAUCCCUGCUACUGCUGAUUGCAGGCUUUUUAGGGUGUGUCCAUUGUAUGUCUUAGAAUUGACGUCAUCUCGCACUUGAUAGUAUCCGGUACAACGAAUCGUGGAGAGACUCCGAUAUUAUCUUAGAAUUGAGUAUUGGGUUUAACUCAACCAGUAGCGGAACCAGAAAAAAUAUUGUGGGUGGACCGAAAAAUAGUCAAUCUAUUUUCAAAUUGAAUUUUUUUGUCCCUCUAUUUUCAUAUGUUACAAUUUUGGUACCAAAAGUCUAUAUUUUUACUGUAAAAAUUGUGAUUUUUUGCCAUAACGGUAAUUUAUUGUCUCAAACAUUAAAUUUAAAGAUGAAAUAUCAAAUUUAAGACCAAAAUUCACAUUUUUUUGCAUUAAAAUUUGCUAUUUUUACGGAAAAAAAGAAAAUAAAAAUGAGAUAAGACUAAAGUUUGGACAAAUGUGAAAAUAUGGGACUUAAAAAAUUAAAUAUUAAUUAACCAUUUUUUUAUGUCAUUUGAUAUUUAUAUAUGCUAGUUCAAUUGCUAAUUUUAUCUAAUAUUAUAAAUUCAAUUAAUUAUGAACUAAUAUUUACACUAAUACUUUAACUAAUAUGUAUACCGAGUUAUUAUAAUCAUCAAUAAUAAACUCCAAAUUAAUAUUUACAUUAAUAUUUUUAAAAUAUAUAUAUAUAUAUAUAUAUAUAUAUANNNNNNNNNNNNNNNNNNNNNNNNNNNNNNNNNNNNNNNNNNNNNNNNNNNNNNNNNNNNNNNNNNNNNNNACCUCAACCCACCCCUAGGUCCGCUGAUGAACUCAACCCUACAAAACUAGAUUGUAAAGUGAUGAUUGUCUUUUCCUUAUAAACACGUAUUCAAACCAUUUUGUAACUGAUGUGGACUUCUUAACAAUAUGAUUGCGGGCUUUUUGAAAUUAUUCAUCAGUAAAAUUGGUUACCCAAAAGAAAUUAAUCGGGAGAAAAUCAAUACACCAAUGAAUAGUCAAUGACAGAGCAAAGAAUGAAGGGGAGAGGUGACAAGAACUGUUUACGAAGCACCAUUGCUUUCAGUUUCGAUUACUUUGUUUUCAGGACCCAGUUUCCACCAAAUAUGGCAUGGUUUUCUAUCAAGAAAAUUAAACAAGAAGACACUUAAAUAAAUGAGACAUCAUGGGGUGUCUUUGCUUGGUACGAUAUAGUCAAGCAUACGUCAAUUUCUAAACGCAACAUUAAAAAAUUGUUUUAUUAACAUUAAUAUACUAAACAAACAAAUUAACAACCUAAGUUAUUUUCGAAAAUGACAUUAAAAAAUGGAUACACUACAAGAAAAUACGGGAUUAGCUACGAGGGAGUUUGUAGCUAAUUCGUAGCUAAUCUCUAGUAAAACAGAAUUAGCUACCGAUUUGUUGUGAAUUAGCUGUCAUAUAGGGCGUAGCAUGAGUUAGCUAAACGUUUAAGAACUUGUUUUUGAAAUUUCAGAUUCUAAAUUUCAAACAUGAGAGUUUCGAAUUAUAGAAUCUUAACCAAUGUCUUAUAAAAGCAAAAUUACAUCAAAAAGCAAAACUACAAUUAAAUAUGUUUAUUACGACAGGAAAUAAAAUUAUAUCAAACAUUAGAAAACAUUACAUCAAACAUUAGACAAAAAUUACAUUAAAAAUUACAUCAGUUGGGACCAUCUCAGAUUUUGCUAUUAACAUUUCCUUUAGGAAAAAUGAUGUGGCUACCUAGAUUUGUACAUUUAACGAGUAGAUGAGAAUAGAUGAAACUAUUUUGUUCACACUAUCAAAUGUAACAGAAUAACCACUCGGCACAAGGAAACUACGUUAUUGAUGUAGUUCUAAAGGGGACUUUGGAUCUUUUGUUUAACCAAUCAUUACAUUUUCGAUCAUCUUGGCUCAACAAUACCUCGCUGACUAACAAUAUAAGAUUAUCACAUCUCAUCAUCAAAGGAUAACUAUGAGAAUCUUAUAUUGAUCAACGAAGGCUAUGCAAUUAUUUACCCACAAACUUUUAAAACCGGCAUGUGAGAGAAGAGAGGAAAUAGUUGAGAGAAGACAUGAGAGGAGAAAGAAUGAUGAAAAGUAAGAAUUCAUGGCAAUAUUUUUAGAAGAGAGCAAAACAAUUGAACAACAACCAAUCUAAGAAUUCUCCCUAUUCGAAUUUUAAAAUUGGAGCACUUAAAACACGUUUAGCUCUAGAAUUCAAACGGUGUACUUAUAAAAAGGGUUGUGCUAACUAGUGUUUCGGAUAUAUUAGUUAAUUAAGAAGUCAAAAAAAGUAUAUUUUACAUUAAAGCAUUAUUUAUACUUUUAAAAAUGUAGAAUACACAAGUUCCAAUACAUAUUUAUCAUAUUUAAUUCCUUAACUAGUGCCCCUAGCUCAGGGCACUAGCUAGCAAUUUCUUUUUCUCUUUUUUUCACCAUCAGGACCCGCCCCAUUGGACCACCUAAUCUGGCUCGGAGGUUAGUUUUGGCAUCAAGUGGUUCUAGCCCCCUCCUGAUCGCAAUUAUGAGAAUCGAAUCAUCGUUCUCCCUAUCAACUUCAUCACCAAUCACCCUUAUACGAAAAAUUCUCUAAAAGAACACUUAAUUGUUUCAUUUAUUUCUUGUAGGCUUAUCUAAACAGCAAGUGGGGUACACACUAUUCACUAACAAUGCUUUUCCUCCAUUUCAAUGCAGUAAAGAUCAUGUUAGGUAUUGGGCUAGCUCAAAAUAAACAUAACGCAACAUCUGAGAAAUUUUCUCAUCCCACCCACACACUUUCUCCCCUACCCCCUAGCAAUUCGGAAAACGUUUUCCGAAUUUUUUAUAGUGUAAAUUUUACACUAGAAAAACAGUUUGGAACAUAUUUUUCGAAUUUUUUUGCGCGCUAGGGGAGUAGGCGAGAAAGUGAGUGGGUGAGAUGAGAAAAUUUCAACAUCUGAUAUCUAUCAUGUGAUUGUAAGCCCCAUUAAAGGGGGGGGAAAAAAAAAAGGAAGCUCCUAGUCCUAAUUUUUUUUCCUUCUUUUCCCUUUCUAUUACAAAUAUAGGAAUACUUCUUUUAGAUUUAUGCAUUUAUUUUUUUAAAAAAAUUAUACGUUUUUGUAUUGUUUAAUGCAAAAANNNNNNNNNNNNNNNNNNNNNNNNNNNNNNNNNNNNNNNNNNNUUAAUUUCAUUAGGGGUCCCUUUACGAAACAUGUCAACAUUCUAAUUAUCAUUCAAUUCAUAUUCAUCGAUAUCAUAAUAAUUCAAAAGAAAAAUAGAAUUUAAUAGAAAGUAAAAUAAUAUAAUAAAUAUAGUAUAUAAAAGUAGAAUGAAUAGAUCGAAAUAAGUCAUCGAUAUAUUGAUAUAUCGAUGAAUUAUUUUCGACUCAUUUCAUAAAUCAAUAUUAUUAUGACUCUUAAUAACACUAAUAAAAAUAUUCUAACUACUAAUAAAACACAAAGCCGAUAUAAUAGUUCUGGAUUUUCAUAGGCAAGUACUACUAGCUUGUAGGAAAGGGCUCUUAGCUUUUGCCUCCAAAUCCUUAUAAAUUGUUUUAAAUCACUAACAAAUGUGUAUGUGAUAAUGUCGAAAAGUAUUCUCUGAAUAGAAAUUUUCCAGAGCAAUUCGGAUACGAACGGUUCAUAUAUAUAUAUAUAUAUAUAUAUAUAGUCUUAUAACACAUGUUAGCAUAUUUUAUAGACCAACUAUAUUAAUUAUUCAGAAAAUCUAAAAAGAUUAAAUGUCUCUCAUAAAAAGACCCGAUGAAGUAUUAUCUUAAUGUUUCUUUCUAUCAAUAAAAUCUUAAUAUUUUCAUUGAUUAGUAACCAGAGUUUUUGUUCGAAUUUGAAGGACACAUAGAUUGGGACAAAACACUUCAUACAUAGAUUAAGCAUCCACACCAACAUUAGACAAAACUCUGAAUAUUUUAACAAUUUCCCUGCAAACUAAUCCUCCAUCAGAAGUAAACAUUGACAUAGAAAAAUAACAAAUUACUCAAAACUGAUACAUGGAGGUCAUUUGAAGGAACAACUAUAGGAUCAGGAUAGAGACCAUAUAGUGCAGGAAUUUGAAGGAAGUGGAGUUAUGUAGCAUGCAUGAUUCAGUCAUUCAGAUCAGAGAAUGAAUUACACUGUUACUUUUUGAAGCAUCACAUCACAAUGUGUCUUGCAUUGGUUUCGUUGCUCAUGGUGAUCCUACUUGUUCCAAAAGGAGAGUGUUUCUUAAAAGGCUCAAAAAGUUGAAGGAAGGCAGUGAAAAGGUUAGAGUGAGACAGAGGCUAAAUGAAGUCCUUUGGUAUGCAUCUGUAACUCCAAGGUUUUGAUCUAGUGGUUGAGCCAAAAAGAGACUAUGUUGAUAUAUAUAAGCUGUGAUACUGCAUUGUGGCAAAAGAAACAAAUACAAAAAGGUUAACUGCAUUUUGGAUUGAUAGCGAUUUUAAAUCACGGCAUUUUGACAGAAGCUUCACAAAAUCACGGUGCCACCAUGACUUCGCCAAAUUUACCGUCAAUCCAAACAUGCACUAAAUAAUCACGGGGUAUUUCUUCCAAGAUCAUGGAACUCUCUUUUUGGUCAUCAACGCCGCCAUAUGCUCCUUCAUUAUCCUCUCACCUCCAUUCGCGUGUAAAUCAACUUCUCUCUACUCUCCUUCAGUCCUUCUCCUUCUCCUGCUUCUAAGACAUUUGAAUUGGCUAACACCACAGGGAGACACAAACUUCAAAAGAAAAGUUCAUGUAAGUUGCCAUCCGACUGCAGCGGCUCUAUGAAACUGAUUCUUAGAGUUCAAUUCCUGCUUUCAACCCAUAAUCAAUAUGAUAUCAAUGUUUCUCUCAAAUCCUGGAACAUCUUUGUAGUGCCUCAUUUAAUAGGAAGCCUACAAGUGGCUCUAUUUCAUUAAAUUUCAUAUGUAAGUAAAAUAAAUAACACCUGAUCUUUAAACUAAUCAAACAGUGCAGUGCAGAUAAAUUUGAGAAGUGCACAUCUACCAUCUACAAACCAUUGGUUGCUAAAACUAUGAAACACAUUCAAACCAAUCUUCGCAUCCCUUGAAGUCUCCACAUGAAUCCUAGUACAUAUACAUAUAUAUUCAUGAAAAUACAUCAAAGGCUAAAGAACCUUCAAAAUAUGUCAAAGCAGCUAAUCCAUCUGUCGGAAAAAAAAACAAAAAAUUACAUAACGCAGGAAGACUACGCACUACUAUUUUGUAAACCACGCCAACAAUCAUCAACUCUUAUAGCAUAUCCCAAAACUCAAGAAACAGGAACUGCAAUGUAAAUUACUAAAACUAUGGUGUAAAGUCACACUCUAACCUUGGAGUUACAACGAUAUGUAAAGUCACAAUAAAUUCCCAGAAAAACAAAUACAGCUAUUGUGUUUUGCAUUGUUCUUCAGAUCCCAAUAUCUUUAACAUGGUACCAUGAUUGAUAACCAAAGUUUGGGAAUUCACAUAAAAUUUAUUAUCCUGUUGGGAAAGCAAAUCCUACUAGGAAUUCAAAGAGAAUAUAGUCAGAUACAAUAAGAAAGAUCAGUGAAGAUAGAACUGUAAAGAUCUAUAACCUGUAGAACAUUUAAAUUUCAUUGUGCACCAGGUGCCUAUGUCAAAUGCAUGAUAUAAUCUACUGUAAAUUGCAUUGGUGUAGCUUGAUUACAUUGAUCCGAAUAAUAUAUAUAUAUAUAUAUAUAUAUAUAUAUAUAUAUAUAUAUAUAUAUAUCUUAGUAUUUUAAGCUAAGAAGCCAACUACACCAAAGCUUCAAGCAAAUAAGGUUAAGCAACCUUUGAUAAAAUAAACCAAUAAAAAAAACUGAUUAUACACAUAUAUGAAGUGAUACCUGAGUGAGAAGCGAGAAGUAUGGGAUCACCUUGAAAACCAAAAUGCUAAAAGUAGUCAAAUUUUGUAUUUCAUUCAUGUCUAAAAGUAGUAAAAUUUUGUAUUUCAUUCAUAAAUCCAUAUUAAAUAAGCAAGUCAGAGAACCAAAUCAAAAAGGAAAAAACAGUGCAGCCAAAAAACAACAGAAGACGCAAAUCAGGAAAGACGCAUCACACAGCAGCUCCAGCUCCAGCUCACAUCACACACCCGCGGCCACGCUGAUUAAUCCUUCCUCCUUGCAGCGUUCCCUGUCGAAAGGGGGUGGAAUACAGGUUAAAAGGAAAUAAAACAGAGAAUGAAGCCUCUCACUAGUGCCUCCACAAGCACCACCGUGCACAAACACCAACGUGAGCCCUGAGCAGCCCCUGCGACACAAGCUGUUGUGUGCGCAAAACUCUUCUAUUUGGCAGGAAACGAACCACUGUUUAAGUGGAAAAUGCAGAGAAGGAUCUUAUGUUUCAAGGUGUUGAUCUUCAUGGGUUCAAAUUCAAAUCGGGCGAGGGUUGUCUUCUCUAGAUCACCUUCAUAUGAGUAGUAGACAAUCAUGCGCACACGAGGAAGCAGAUGAACUAUGGACAUGAGCAGUUGACAGAGGAAGGCGUGGGGUGAGUGGAAAAAAGGAAGAGAGGAAAGGCAAAGAAGAUGCAUUACAAAAAGAAUGAAAUAUGAGAGAGAGAGAGAGAGAGAGAGAGAGAGAGAGAGAGAGAGAGAGAGAGNNNNNNNNNNNNNNNNNNNNNNNNNNNNNNNNNNNNNNNNNNNNNNNNNNNNNNGAGAAGCCGCUACAAAAUGAGAAGGGUCUCUGAAUUUGAAUUAAAGAGAACAAUAAGUGAGCAAGUGGUGUGCUGAAGAAGCCAUUUGUUCAGAGGUUGACAUGUAUAGAAAAUUCAUCCAACCUGCUCCUACAAUUUGGAACUUCACAUGGUUCUCGACUUUGAAAGAAUGCAUGUCCUUUCCUUUAAUCGACCACAAAUAAUAUCGAAAUACUAAACAUGUUGCAUGCUCCAGGUUUCAUUAUAUGGCAUCAUAACAGUGUCUUAAAAAACUGAAUAUAUAUUACCAGAGAUAAGCUGCAUUAACAAGAUAGAAGCCUACAAUACAAUCCCUGGAGGACAAUUGUUCUUCUUUUAAAGAAGGUAAACAAUGUAAACUAAUAGACAUCCCUGGAAUUAAAAAAACGGAUGGUAAAUCUAACUCAUGUAUUUCCCUGGAUGCCAAUGUCAUUAAGGUGAAAAUUUGAGACCACAAACCAUCCAGUCAAAAUUCUUCCAUGGUUGAAAACUGGUAUAACACAAAUAUCUUUCAAACAUCUGAGCUUAAAAAUGGAACACUUGAGAACAGAGUGACAAGUAAUCCAAUCCGAAUCCGCGCCAAUUAUUUCAUGAUUAGUUCAUGUGUUGUGAAUUGCACUUCUGUUUUUCCUCUUCAAGCUCUCGUUUUAAUGUUUCCACCUUUUCAAGUAAGAUUGCAUUCUCCUGUAAGGUUGAAGGAUAACACUUGUAAUGUUUACAAAAACAACUAUCCAUACCAAAAGAGAGCCAAAAGUCAUUACAACCCAAAUCGAAAGGGUAGAAAACCAGAAUAGUUUAUACAUAAAGUUGUAGUAUUUGACUUAAAUGAAAUCGGCGAAUUUGGUAAUAAAUGUGAUUUUUCAAAUUUGGGAUUGAUUAUAAGUUGGUGCUGCAUUGUGUGUCUGAUAAACUUAGUAGUUCAUAGUGUAGUUAUCCUUCAAUAAGUCUAUCCUUGUUUCACAAAGUUGGAGAAUGAAUAGAAACAAUAUCAUAAGGAGGCAGAAUGAAGUUCGAUUGAUAAGUUUUAAAGACAUACCUUUUGUAAUAUUGCCAAUUUAUGGUUAUUACCAGAAGCAUCAUUGGCUCUCCGAGAGGACUCCUGAAACUACCACAACAAGAUUGAUUAAACAGGAAGGACAAAUGGAACAGCUUGUUCUUUUAUUGGUUGAAUAUGUAAAUGUCUAUUUCUAUAAUUAUAUUUCAUGAUUUCACAAAGUACCAAUUUAUAUCUUGGGCAGAUAUAUAACACCCCUUUCCAACAGAUCGAAUUUAAGGUGGCUAGGUGUGAAAGUACAACAAACCACAAUAGUAUAACCUUUCUGAUCAUUCAAUUUGGAAGGUAGGAAGUGAAAAUCCUAAGAAGAGAAUACAUACCACUUGAAGUUCCUUGAUGCACUUAUUCACCCUAUCUACCUCUGUAUCGUACUUUAGCCUCCACUCAGCAGAUUCAUCCAUGGCCUCCCUAUUAGCAAUAUCAAAUUGUCGCCUAGAUACAGUUGAGUGGACCAAACAUCAUUACAAUUUAUAGUUAAAGAUGCAAAACAAUAAUGCUAUAAACUACAAAGCACAGACACAGGACACACACAUGGGACAGAACACUGAUGCUUACCCGCUCAAUUUUUUUUUUGAACGCCAAAUAUAUUAUUAAUAAUAACUAAGUCUCUGCACAAGACAAACAGAGUCCGGUAAAAGAGAAACUACAAAAACAAAGGCGUCGUAUAUAAGUGGGACACUAAUGAAAAUACCAAAACAAACACUACCUAAUAGAGGUAUACUUCUAAUCACAUUCUUAGAAAGACACUCCUCAGCGUCCAGACCACCCGAGAAGACAUCAACCCGACCCAUAAAGAUGCCACUAGACACUAAUUCCCGAUCUCGAAUCAAAAGAUGCAAAAGAAACAAAAAUUUAAGAAAAUUAAGUGAUUGAGUGUAACUAUAUGUAUCGGUGGCCUAUCAGUAUUGGAUAACCGCGCAAGUCGUUAGUGUUGUCAAAUUGAGGCUAUAGUGGCACUAUAACACCAUAGUGUACCAGAAUUUAAACAAAUUGCUAUUGUUCCACAAUACGCUAUUUAAUACAAAGUAUUGUUUUUGUAAAAAAAAAAAAUACAAAGUAUUGUUUAAUAGCAACUAUAGCAUAACAAACCACUAUUUAUUGUGAUCCACGAUUGACAACAUUGUAUGUCGAACACUGCGCACACCUUCAAUCAGAAGUAUCAGUGUUACAUAAGCUAUAAGGCUAUCAUUAUAAGUUGAAAUAAAAAUUGCAGCACUGCAUCCCAUCAAUCACAAAACUAUACUUUCUCUUAGCCGUAUAAAGAUAUGGAACUCAAAGAUCUUAAUUCUAACCAGUGAAGGAACAAAUUAAACUCAUAAUGAACAAAAUAAGAGAUUAUUUUUCCUUUAUUAUUUUGAAAAUUAAGAAGUAUUCAAAUAAAUAAAUAAAAUUGCAUUUUGCCCCAAAUGAGAUGAAAGAUUAGAUUGUGAAAAAGAUGAACCUUAUGAGCUCAGUAUCAUCAAUAGAAAUGUUGUAAUCCAUAGCCCAAAGCCUGAAAUAUACAGCAAUACCCAUAAACAUUAGAAAAGCCAAACCCACUAAAAUUGAUCUUCUUUUUACUCCAACCAUUCCCUUUGAUUCUUCUUCUUCGCUUCUUCUGUUUACUCCCCCCGAAAGUCAGUUACAUUCAACCAUGCUUCUCGAUGUAUUUCGUUGAUCUAACCUCUUUUUUCUUUGAUAAUUAAUUACUACUUAAUUAAUACGGAGAAGUACUUGCAUUUUUGACUUAUUGUGUGUUUGGUUGGUUAAACCAUUCAUCCUACGGUGAGCUACGUAGCUCCCGGACAUGUCACUAUAUGUGCAGGAGUUCGAAAUCGAAACCGGAACACUUCACUUAUCCACCUUUAAGGUUUAAGGUGGAUUUAUCUACUAGGCUACUUGAAAAAAAAAAAAAUUCAUUCAUNNNNNNNNNNNNNNNNNNNNNNNNNNNNNNNNNNNNNNNNNNNNNNNNNNUUCAUUCAUUUACCACAUUACGAUGAAGAUGACUUUCAUUUUAUUGUUUGGGCCUUGUUUAUUUUUUUUUUUUAAUACCCAAUUUGUCAAUAUUAUAUCUUAUAUUCUAAAUUUAUUCUCAUAAACUAACCCUAAAUUUAAUCACUUUUCCUUUCUUUUUAUUACAAUUUUAUAUUAAAAAAAAAUCAUUUGUCUACAAUGGAAAUCGAACCCGCAUCUUUGCUUGCAAUAAAGUUUUUCAAUCACUAGAGCAUGUGCUUCAAUUGUGAUUAAAGCAAUGUUUUAAGAACCGGACCGGAAGUCGAACCGGUAUAGUCUCCGGUUCAUGGUUCAAUCGGUUCAACUGGUUCAAUCGUUAUUGAACCGUUUGAACCGGAUAAUAAAUAAUAAAUAAAUAGUAAAUAUUUUAAUAGAUAUAGUCUUAAGAAUUUCUUUUAAUGUGUCAAAAAAUAAAGCCCUUUCAAAAGUCAAUUGUUACAAGGCCCAUGAUUAAAAAAAAAGCCCAAUAUUGUAGAUAACCCUAAUUUGUGAGUAACAAGAAACAAUAUACACUAUCACUUGCUUUAACAACAACUACAGCGCCUCCACCUCUUUCUUUUCUCCUGUUUCUUCACUUAUUCUUCUUUAUCAAUGAGAAAGGGUUNNNNNNNNNNNNNNNNNNNNNNNNNNNNNNNNNNNNNNNNNNNNNNNNNNNNNNNNNNNNNNNAAAAAAAAAAAAACAUAAAGGAUCAAAGUGUUACAAAAAAAUAAGAUAAAUGACAUGUAGUGUAAUUUUGUCAUCUAACAUGUUUUUUUUUUACAGGGUCAUCCUAAUAUGUUAAUCUAAUAUUAAAUGCAUUUAUAAUUUUCUCUUAUAUAUUCUAAGCUUAUUCUGAUACGCUAACCCUAAAGCUAAUAUUUUUUCCGCUCAUUUUCCCUCUCUUUUUAUUGCAGUUUUAAAUUUUUUAAAAAAAAAUAAAGUUGUCUACAGUGGGAAUCAAACCAGCAUCAUUUGCUUACAAUAAUAUUACAAUUUUUUUGUUACAUAUUAGGCUAAUUAGACCCGUGCACCGCACAGGUCGAAGUUCUAGUAUGUUAGUAACUUUUUUCUCCUUUGUCAGGACUUGAACACUGGACAUCCUACUCCUUCUCCUGUCUGGGUAUUUUGGAGUGAUGAAAUACCUUGAAAACAAAAAAUUUCUUCUCACGCCCCCAACUUUCUCGUGCACCCCCUGCACUUCCUAUUUUACUCCUUACUACUUAAUCGGAGAGUGUGUAAAAACACAAAUUUUGCUAAAAAGAGAAACAUUUGUAACAUAACCUGCAAACUACACCCGAAUCAUAAUGCAGUCAUAAUUAUCACUUCUGUAGGGAUAACUAGUAUAAAAAAAUUUAAAAAAAAAAUAGAUAAUAUUAAAAUAUCAUUUCAUAUAUAUUAAUCUGAGUAGUCAUUUAUAUUUUGGACUCUAAUCAUUUUACUUUAAAAAAAUCAAAAAGUGGUUAAAGUGUGGCGGAAUCUCAAGGUCUAUAACAUUCUUCUCAUGUUGAAGUGUGGCAUAAUCUCUAAUUACCAUAACACUGUGAGUACAUUUGGGUCUCUAAUUAGCCAUCCGAUAAACAUAUCUAGUGACCCAAUUUGAUGCACUUUAACCAUUAAUUGAUCCGCGUGAGAUUAUUCGAAGGCAGAGAGAUAGGGAAAGAAUAGUCACAAAUUAUUCAGUAACAUAAACAGAAAGACCAAAAAUCACUCGUGCAGUAUUAGGAAAGAAAGAGACGAUCAAGUGGGCUGGUUUGAGGGAGCUAUUGUAAACCUUUGGAUUAAUAGAAAUGGAAGGAUAUUGACACCUGGUACGGAUUCUGACUCAAAUAUAUAUAACACCCUAUAUAUUCAUAUCUAAUUUUACCGGUCAAAGGUGAAAAUUGCAUCCUUUAUGAGUAUGGAAAUAAAAUAAAGUACUCCUUUCUACCAAAAAAAAUUAAGUACUCCUAAGAAGGUUGAAUUAAGUGAAUUAAGCCUUACGAAUGCAUGAAUGUUAGUAUGAAUACAUAAAUGUUAUUCAAAGUUAAUUAUAUUAUAACUAGGGCGACAUAUUUGAGUCUAGUCAUUGUUUGUUUGAUAUAAUUCCUCCUUGUAUUAAGAACAUUUUGAUUAAUGAAAUGAAUUUAGUAUUGUCAAAAAAAAAAAUCAACACACCGAUAUUUUUAAUUAAUUUUGGGUAAAUAGGGUUAUACCCCAACAAAAUAUGCGAGUUUUGUGUUACCCCAUGCAUGAACAAGUGGACAUAUGACAUGGAUGAAUCAUGACGUGGCAAUACACGUAGAAAUUAAUUUAAUUUUUAUUUAUUUUUAAUUUUCAACUCAGUAAUUAUAUAUUUUUUAAUUAAAAAAACUAUAAAAAAUGUGAACAAUGAACAUUGCCAUAAUAAUAAACAGGCUCAAGAGUUGGGCUUCGACCCACGUGGAUCUCCCAAGCCCAUGAUUCUCUCUCUAACCCAAGAAAGCACCAAAACCCUAGUUUAUAUUUGUUCCUUGAUCCCAUUUCCUCCACCGCAAAACUCUAGUUUCAUUCAUUCAUUCAGAGCAAAAAUCAGGUUCUCUUCCAUCAUCAUCCAGCAAUGCCUCCCAAGCUCGAUCCAUCACAGGUCGUUGAAGUCUUCGUCCGAGUAACCGGUGGAGAAGUCGGCGCUGCCAGUUCCCUCGCUCCAAAGAUCGGACCUCUCGGUCUCUCCCCAAAGAAGAUCGGAGAAGACAUUGCGAAAGAAACCGCCAAGGACUGGAAGGGUCUUCGAGUGACUGUGAAACUCACAGUUCAGAAUCGACAAGCAAAAGUGUCAGUGGUUCCUUCUGCGGCGGCGCUUGUUAUCAAGGCAUUGAAGGAGCCGGAGAGAGAUCGGAAGAAGGUGAAAAAUAUCAAACACAAUGGAAAUAUCUCUCUUGAUGAUGUUAUUGAGAUUGCGAAAGUGAUGAAGCCUAGAUCAAUGGCGAAGGAACUUGGUGGUACUGUCAAGGAGAUUCUUGGAACUUGUGUUUCUGUUGGUUGUACUGUUGAUGGAAAAGAUCCAAAGGAUUUGCAACAAGAGAUUGAUGAUGGUGAUGUUGAGAUUCCUUUGGAAUAGUGUUAAUUUCAUUUUUGUUUUAGUUAUUUUGUUUUUGGCUUAUGUUGUAUCUGUUUUAUUAUUUUUAUGCAAUGGAGUUUUCAAUUAUAAUCGAAUUUGCAGCAUGUUAUUGAGACUGGAAAUUUUACUAAUUUAUCCAUCCGGUUUGUAGUUUAUGAAAUUAUUAUGAAAUCGAAACUUCAUUUUCUUUGCAAAUUUUUGUGUAUUAAAAAUCUUUGAAUUUGCUUUUGAAAAUUUGACUACACAUUAUGUUUCUUUGAAUAUGUAUGUCUAUUCUUACGUAAUUAAAACGAAAUUUGAUUAUCUCCAAUUCGGCAUGAUCUUUUUCUGAAAUAGUUUGUUUAUGACAACAACAUUCUAUACACAAUUUUAGUAAAAUUGUGCAUACAUAGAAUGAAAUUUCUGAAAUAUGUGGUAGCCACCGUUUAUCACCCCACAUAUGUCGAUGACAUUCCAAAGAAUCAAUCUCAGCUAUUCCAUGAAAUUCCCGUCGUACAAGUCUUCAUCAUUCCACCAUAUCAGCUAUUUGAGGUAUUUUCUCUUGAUUAUUAUUCUGAUGUUUGUUUGAAUUUCUAUGUAUGUAAUGUAUAUUAAGGUAUGUUUGACCCAACUUGCUUAUAAAAUAAACAACAUGAUUAUUUUAAUUAAAGUAAUAAUAAUCUUGUUAAGUAGCUUUAGCUCUAAAAAUGUUAAAAUUAUCAAAUAAUUUAACUACAUUUAACUUCAAUUUUAAUAGGAAAAGAAUGCAACGCCCCCUGUGGGGAUCAACUCACAACCCCGUGGUUUAAAGCCACACGCUAUACCACUGAGAAAAGUCGGCUUGCUUUUAAAAAUUGGAAAAUAGAAGUUGAGACCGAAAGUGCAUGACAAAACACACGAAAUAUGGAGUUUGAAUCAUGUUUUCCAUUUUUGACAAAUUUUCGUGACUUGACUAUUUUCAUGACAAAACACACGAAAACAGUUAUAAAACCAAUAAACAAAGAAGGUACAUAAGAAAACACAAUACGAUAUUUUUAUACUGGUAACUUAAUCCAAUCCACCUUAUACAAAGUGACUUUGCCUUGCCUUCUAUCCUUAGAAGGACUUCAAUAAUCCGUUACAAUUUCUACGAUAAGACCAUAUCAUAUAUUUCUCGCUUCAAACAAGAUUUGCUGCAUCACAAUAGAUGACUAACUUGUUUCGAGAAGAGUUGUUGUCACUAAUGGGCAGGUUACACAAAGUCAGUUAGUAUCAAUGUGAUACAAAGUCGUAUGCUAGGAAGAAUAUACAAUGAAAUCUUAUUAUCAAUCUAACUUGUAUUGAAGAAAACUUGGUUGUUUUACAUCAUGAUCUAAACAACUCUCAACGGAGAGAAUAAUAACAUAGCCUUUUUUUAUUAUACUAGAGAAUGAAUGCUUAAAAUUAACAUUGAUGUAUUUAUGAUUGUUUUUCUCUAGUCAAAAUUAAGGGUGAGCAAAAAUAUGGCAACCAACCGAACCCAUUAUAACGUAGAUUAAGUUGGGGGUAUGGCGGGUUUGUAUGGGUUGUCGGGUGACAAAUAAUUAGGAAAAAACUGUUAACAUGGCCGGNNNNNNNNNNNNNNNNNNNNNNNNNNNNNNNNNNNNNNNNNNNNNNNNNNNNNNNNNNNNNNNNNNNNNNNNNNNNNNAUCAGUUUUGAAAAUUUAAAUACGUUGUUAACCGAACUCGAUCAAGGUUGUAAAAUGACGAGUCUUUUUUGUCUAAUCAUAAGUAUUGAAGCAUCGUUUCUUUUUUUAAAAAAGAAAUACAAAGUUAUUUAUCCACAAGACUCAAGAUAGAAUGUAUUAUUGCAAAGUUAAAUUAUGUUUUGUCAUUACAUUGAUUUAAUCUCUCGAUGGUGCUCAAUAAUAAGUGUUGGAACAAGUUAACAACUUGUAGAAGAACUUGGUAUGAAAUAAACAUAAGGUAGAACUAGAGUGUGAGUGAAUUUGAAAAAAGAUCACAUUGAGUCUCACAUUGGUUAGGACACUCACUUUAGUAGUGUUUAUAGGCACAAGUUAAUAUGCAUAAGGUCAAUCUUAUGUACGGUGCAUAAGUUAAUCACAACCAUCCGAUCAUAGACAUUUUGAUGACACAUGUUAUCAUCUCAAAAUCCCAAACUAAGUAAGUUUCGAAUUAAAAGUCAAAUUAAGUAAGUUUCGAAUUGAUUCAUGUUCCAAAUCAUGUCCUCAAGCUUUUCCAACCGUUUAUUUUGCUUAUUUCGCUCAAAUAAGUGUUUUCAAUUUUUUUAGGUUUUAAAGAUUGAAUCGUUUUUUAAAAUCUAUACCUCCACUGUGAAAUCUAAGCAUGGAUUCAUGAUCAGCGUUAAAUUUCAAGUAAAAUGGUAUACCCAAUUGUAAUUUUUGGUUGAGAUUUAGUGUUGUUGUGGUCGUGAAGGUUUUUUGAAGCUUUCAUGGCUUCCCUUCAUGUUCUUCACGAGGAAGAAGAAGGUGGAGGUUGAAGACGAUGACGUGGCGACGCGUCAUUGGCUCCCUCCAAUUUUAAGUCAUGACCGUUAGAUUAUUAUAAAACGAUCCAAAGGCUCAGNNNNNNNNNNNNNNNNNNNNNNNNNNNNNNNNNNNNNNNNNNNCUUGGGCCUGGACUUCUGUAUUUGUUUUCUGCACCCCCUGACUUACGUUCUGCACCCCCUCUACUUGCUUAAUUUUAUGUUUUUAUUUUUAGCUUAAUCAAAUAAGUGCUUACUUGAACAAGUGCUUUUAUAAGCACUUGAGUCCAGGGAAACAUGGCAAGAAGCAUCUCUUGUUGUUGAAAUUUAAGGAUUCAAAAAAUCUAUUUUAUCCUCAUAGUCAAUAUUAAUGAAUUAACAUAUUGAAACCAUUUAACAAGACUAAUGGUUUCAGUGUAUAACUUAUUGAAAUCAUUUAACAAGUCUAAUGGUUUCAGUGUAUAACAUUAGUCAAUAUUAAUGGGUUAACAAAACUGAAACCGUUUAACAAUAUUAAUGAGUUAACAAAACAGAAACCAUUUAAAAGACUAAUGGUUUCAGUGUAUAACUUAUUGAAACCAUUUAACAAGAUUAAUGGUUUCAGUGUAUAACAUUAGUCAAUAUUAAUGGGUUAACAAAACUGGAACUAUUUAACAAGACUAAUGGUGUCAGUGUAUAACUUAUUGAAACCAUUUAACAAGACUAAUAGUUUCAGUGUAUAACAUUAGUCAAUAUUAAUGGGUUAACAAAACUGAAACCGUUUAACAAUAUUAAUGGGUUAACAAAACGAAAACCAUUUAAAAGUCUAAUGGUUUCGGUGUAUAACAUAUUGAAACCAUUUAACAAGACUAUUUUUUUCCACCAUUUUUGUGAAAAAUUGAAAGUCAUUCAAACACCAUAAACCUUUAAUUUCUUUCAUCCAAAAGCUUCCAAACACUUCCAGAAAAUCGAAAUAUACCAAGAAACACGAAGAAAAACCAAUAGAAAAGCAUACCCAAAGUUCAAAAAUAGUUAAGAGAAAACUUAUUUGGUUAGCUCGAUUUAAAGGCACACUAAGUAAGUUUCGAAUUGAUUCAUGUUCCAAAUCAUGUCCUGAAGCUUUUCCAACCGUUUAUUUUGCUUAUUUUGGUUAUAUGCUGAAACCAUUAGUCUUGUUAAUUGGUUUCAUACUGUUAUACACUGAAACCAUUAGUCUAGUUAAAUGGUUUCAUAGCGUUAUACAAUGAAACCAUUAGUCUUGUUAUUUGGUUUCAAGAUAUUAUACACUGAAACCAUUAGUCUAGUUAAAUGGUUUCACAGCGUUAUACACUGAAACCAUUAUUUUAGUAAAAUGGUUUCAUAUGGGCAUUAGUGUCAAGAUGUUAUACACUGAAACCAUUGUUAUUAAGUAAAACAUCACAUAACCAUUUUACAAAAUCAUGCUACAUAAAACAAAAAAUCAUAUAAAGCAAUUAGGGUUAGUUUAGUUGAGAACAAUUUGGAUAGUAUGCAUGAGAUAUUGAAUUCGAUCAUUUUUUUAUUGUAAAGAAAAAAAUCCAAAUAUAUAUAUAUAUAUAUAUAUAUAUAUAUAUAUAUAUAUAUNNNNNNNNNNNNNNNNGAUAAAACUUAAAAUUAAAUUGUAUGUUUGACAAGUAUGCUUUAUAUAUACAUGAACCAUUGGUUAUUAUUUUGGGCUUCGAGGGGGUGUAUGACGAAAAUUAAUUAAAAAUGGAUUCUUAUAUUAUAUACUUCAAAGGAACAAAAGUUAUUAUUUAAUUGGAAACGGGGGGUGCGCUAGAAAUUUGAGGGGGUGCACUAGAAGUUUGGAGGAGGGAAAAAAAUUGGGUGCGCGCUAGAAAUCUGGGGGAGGAAAAAAAAUUGGGGGGCUCACAAGAAAUCUAGGGAGAAAAAGAAAAAAAAACUGAGGGGUGCGCUAAGUAAAUGGGGGGCGCGCAAGUAAUGUGGUAGUAUAUGAGGGCGCGCGAGUAAAGAAUUGCCUUUGGGCUUGGGCUAACUUUUGGUGUAGGAAGCAAAUAUGCUGUGUGUAGGAAGCAAGUUUAUGCAUUCUGCAUAAGUUUUGGCUUAUGCACCAUAAUCACACCCGUGUUUAUAUACAAGAAGGUCACUACUUAGGGUACGCCCCAAGGGGUGCCCAAUUUUGUAAACGGGGCACAUCAUGCUAAAUAUCAUGUGCCCGCCGUCCGGCCAGAGUGGGCCGGGCCGGGUUUGGUGAUAUAUUAAUUUUUUAAUACAUAGAAGUGGAAAAAUAAUUAAUAAUUAUUUUACGCUAUAGUGUGCAUCCGUGUUGCAAAUUUUCGUACAUGUUAUGCAGCAACUGAGUGGGCCGAUUUUCUUGGCCACGUUUUGCUUUGUUGGCCACAAAAGGCUCCCUCAAAUUCCUUCUUUCCAAUUCAAUCUUCGCACUAUAAAUACUGCCUUUCAGUUCUCACAAAAACUUACUUCACGCUUCUUGGUUCAAAAAAAAUCUUCUCCUCUCUCAGAAAAAUUUCUUACUUAAAAUUUUCGUUCUUGUUGUUUCAGAAAGUGGUUGUUGCCACUUCGAAUUGAUAUUCGUAUAUCAAUAUAAGACUGGUUCGUUGAACCAUCGAACGUGUUUUUCUUCCCGUUUUCUACAGUGCAAUAGAUAACGGUAUUUAUUGAAUUAACUGUUUUAUCCUGGGGACUUCACGGUUGAUAGUCUACCUUGCACAACUUGGGUAGUGCUGUGAAACGUCUUAAAGAGAGUGUAUCGAACCGCGACUCGAUCGGUAAUUUCUUCAUUGCUAUUUUCUAAAUUGAUUUUUUCAAAACCGAAAAAUAACAAUAAGUUAACUUAAAGUGUAAAUAUUUUAUUAUUCUAUAUGUUUGUCUUUUUUUAUUUUUUUAUUAAUGUGUUAGCCCGAAUAAACCGAACUGACCAACCGGUAAUCCAUAUAAACCGACACUCCACAAACCGAAGCUUGAAAUGGUCGGUUAUAGGCCAGAAUUUUGCACCCUCAGAUUUUCUCGGUGAGCCAUUUUGGAAAAUGCAAUUACAUCGUAAGAUGCAGGUGUGUAUUAAUCAUACCUGAAGAUCACAUUGCAUUAGUGUAUUUUGAUGCAUUCCCUUGCACUAGAUAAGGUGAAACUCACUUGUUGAGCUUUCCACCAUUGCACGCUACUUUGGUGCAUGACACAAUAUACCAUUAUGUGACCUUUAUGAUUUUUCACGGUUUCCUUUCACAUAGUGUACAUAUCUUAUCUUGACUAUGCCAUCGAGUUAUAUGUAUGCAGGCGUGUAUUCAUCACACCAAAGGAUCACAUUCUCUUGGUAGGCGUGUAUCCAUCGAGUCACAUUCUCGUUAUACAUGAACAAAUUUGCCACAUACUUAUAAAAUAAACAACAUAAUUAUUUUUAAGUAACUUUGCUAAUAAGCUUUAGCUUUGAAAAUGUUAAAACUAUCAAAUAAUCUAACUGUAUUUAAUAGGAAAAAAAUGAAACGCCGACUGUGGGGAUCGAACCCACGACCACGUGGUUAAAAGCCACGUGCUCUACCACUGAGCUAAGUCGGCUUGCUUGUUAAUUUUUAACUUAAAAUAUAAAAAAUGUUUAAAAAAUCGAAUAAUAGAAUUUGAGCCAAACCAACAAUUAUGUUGGAUGCUUAUAAAAAAAAUAAAAAAUCUUUUGAAUUUUCGUAAAAACCAAAAAAUUUAAUAAGUCAUGUAUCCGAAAUAAUGAACAAUGCAAAUAUUUGUUGGUGAAGAGAAAAAAGUGGAGUAAAAAUAAUAAAAUAUAUAUAUAUAUAUAUAAUGAAAAGAGGAGUUUGUUGUAAUGACCUUUCUUUUAGAUGGUUGUAGGGCCUCUUGAACGGCAGACCGUGAAUUAUGCAGAAUGUGGUUUAAUUAUUUGCCCCACAACUUAGGAAACACUAAAUUUUCAUGAAAGGUUCCUAAGAAUAUGUCAAGAAUCAUUUUUGAUCUUAUUCACACGUGAAACAUUUGCCUCUAAUUAUACUUCUUCUUCAGAUAUUUUCUCCUUUUAAUUCGUGAUUUGAUCAUCCUAUUCUUAGCUUCUCCUAAUUUAAUUAUACAUAUAUAUAUAUAUAUAUAUAUAUAUAUAUAUAUAUAUAUAUAUAAACAUAAAGGCCUAGCUUAAUUGAAACAUAUCACAAUUCUCCAAAACCAUCCUAAUUCUUUCUCCCUUAGAUUCUCAUUCAAGGACUCUCUUCUUUCUAGACAUAGGGGGAGGAGAGAAUUUUUUUCAAUUACAAAGAUUUGAUAAUUAAUUCUACAAGCUAACAAUGGCCAAGGGAAUCAGAAAUGUAAGUUCUUGGAUGGAAGUUGCUCCUGCACCAAUAAUUUUUCCAACAAAGCCUUCAAAUUCUCCUACUUUGGAGACAAUCAAAGAAGCUGUUGAGGAAUACGAUGAUAUUCAAAUCCGCCAUAAAUAACUAAUCUCAUUAAGUAACAAAUGUUGCAAGAGAUUUUGCUGGGGAUUUAGUGAACCCUGUUUUGAAGCAGGUUUUAUCAUAUGAAGCUAUUAACCGUGGGUACUACAAAAUUCAUGUAGUACCCGUACCCGGUAUCUUACUUGUACUCGGUACAAUACCUGUAUCCGGUAUUCGUUGGGUACUUGUGAGUACUUUUUCUAUUAUUGUAUAUUAAUUUCUUAUCAUAUUGUUCAAACAAACUUUUAUUUCUAUANNNNNNNNNNNNNNNNNNNNNNNNNNAACUAUCAGACUAUUAUUAUAUUGUCAUCUUUCUUUUCUAAUUUUCAUGAUUUCGGUUGGAUAUUUU